CUCUCGGGCUCUCCCCCAAGACGCCGUGGGUGAGGCGAGGGGCUCACCCGGAGGCUGCUGGGAAAGCGGAAGCGGUGGAGUUGCAUUAGUACUUUGAGCUCGUUUGGCCCUGGUCUUCGGUGGUUUCUGACAAUUCUCAUUACAGAAACCUACUCUGUAUAUAACAGCAAUCAGCCAUAUUUUUCUCCUUUAUUGAUAUUUUCUCUAGUCCUUCUACCAAACUAGUUUUUCUAGAACUGACUUCCAUGGCAACUGAUUCAACAGAAAAUAAAGUCAAUACAAAUUCAUUUCAAGGUUCCUAAUCAAGAAAGAAUCCACACUGCCAAAGCUAGGCAGGACUCGUACAAAAUAAGGUAUUCCUGGCAACCGUGAGGUAUUUACUGCUGUUAACAAAGACUGGCAUAUCAAUGGGAUUGAAUCUCAAACACAGUCAACUACUGAAAAAAGAAGAACAGAAGCCAUUCACUUUUUGUCUAUUGGCAGUUGGUUGGAAUAAUACAAUCAAUUUUUGUUUGGAAAUGUGCCAAGUCAUUGCUGUUGCAAAGCUUGUUUUAAAUAAGCAAACAAAAUAUUGCUAAGGAAUUGCAACAUAAAAGUUACCACUAUUGGUGUAAAUGCUGUGAUGCAGCCAUCAGGUAAUCAAAAGCUUGUAAUAUCAGUUUGUAAUAUUCCCCAGUCUCUGUAUAAAUAUGUUGACUUUAUGCAAUUUCAGUGCUUUCAAUAUUGCUGUUACUGCAAAAUUCCUGAGUGUCAAAAGUGAUCCAAGUGAAUGAGAUUCAUUUUAAAUAUAUUUUCUGUGAAAUUCAUUCGGACUUAGGAAAAGCUUAGAAGGUGCUAUGAAAAGACCUUCUUUUAUCUUUUUUCUCCCCCAUCAGAUAUGGUGAGUUAGAUCCAAGCCAUAUAUUAUUCUUCUCCAGAAAAUCUGCUUUCAUUGUGUCUGACCAUUUGCUAAGAUAGUAGUGCUGCUCUUGAAACAGUUACUGAAACUAUCAAAGUACCUAAUGAAUUAGAAUAGUAGGUUUCUGACAACCUACAUUUGCAUAUUUUCACUUAAUUUUGAAUGUAUGUAAAUUGGCAACCGCUCUUUCCCACAGUUAACAACCCAUCAAAAUUAGAAAUUAUAUGGAGGUGCAAAGCUGUAAGCCAAAAUUAUUUCUUUGAACAAUUUGAUCCCAAUUUCACCUGACGAAUUCUGAUACUGCCUACUGCAAUAUGAAUAUCAAUAUUGCACUCUUGACCUUUGAUACGUACCAUAGAUUGCAGAUUGUACCAUUUCAAAGAUCCAUUACCAUUUAUUAAAAUCUAUAGGUAUAAUUCAGAUCAAUGGAGCAAGUGUGCUUCUGUGGCCAGUGCAUGGCUGUCUUUGGUCAAUAUUAUUACUUUAGUGAAUUUACACAAAAUAAUUACACAAGUUUAGAAUCCUCCCCCUUCUUUUAUAGAAACCUCAUCUAAAUUUGCUAUACACAUACAAAACCAGCAAUGGGUAAGAUGCUGAUUAGAAGCAGAAUUCUCGUUCAGAUCUCAGUCCUUGAAUUUUGAAGCUAGUGUUUCAGUGCUUUUCUUUGUUACUUGGGGCUGGUGGAGAUUGGUCCACUGAAUUUAAAAAGGGGCAGGAAAAUAAUCUUAUGUCUAAAUAUUGCCAUAGUGAUUCCAUAUUGUUCCAUGACAAACAGUAACAGGAAUACACUUAUUUAUUUAUUAUUUAUUCAUUUUAUAUUUUGCCUUUAUUAUUUUUUAAGUAACUCGAGGCAGUGAACAUGCCUAAUGUUUCUUCCGCCUCCUAUUUUCUUCACAACAAGUUGGGCUGAGAGAGAGUGACUGCUUUAACAACAUCCAGCUGGCUUUCCUCCUCAUCAGUGCAAUCAUAACUGCCUAGCCAGUUAUAAAAGCCAACAAUACCUCAAAAGCUACAGAUUACCCAUCCCUGUUUUUUUGCUAAAAAUAAAUUUGCAUUGUUUUAAUAGUCUUCAAAUAAUGUGUCUCAUAAAUGUAUUGUAGAUACUUAAAACAGACUUGAGAUUAUUGAAUGCUAAUAUGCUAAUAUGCAUUUUAUAGUCAUUUUAUUUCCACAUUAACUCUAAGGAUAUUUGGGGAAGCUCAACAUUUUUAAAUGCUUGAAUUAAAACAAAACUGCAGUUGAAUUAUUACUUUCCACAAUUAACAUGUAUCAUUCUGUGUGGAAAAAAAUAUAUUCUAAAUAGCUUGUGUGUUGUUCUUUUAUUGAUAGUGAACUGGGAAACAGUCUCUUCAAAGUUCAUAAAACUUCCGAAGCUUCUUAAAUCUCACUGGCAUAAAUUAUAAGCUAUGUAAAAUACAAAAAUAACAUAGAAUAAGGAAGAUACCUAGGAAGAUUCAUAUCACCGUCAGUGUCUUUUCUCACUUUUACCAUCGGGCAGAAGACACAGAAGAAUAGCCAGCUGGACAAACAGGUUUAAAAACAGCUUUUAUCCAUGGGCUAUCAGACUCCUAAAUACAAUUACAAUCACUCCAUGCAUACAUGGAAACAUAUGACUGGUUUCUCCCUAAUUAUUUAUAUAAAGACCAUUUUCUGUAUUAUUCGUAUUGUUUUGUAU